UGCGAGUCAUUGUAGUAAUACAAGGCAGACGGCUCAGUAACGCGUAGUCAACCUAACCUAUGGACGGGAAUAACCUCGGGAAACUGAGUAUAAUGCCCGAUAGAACACUAUACCUGGAAUGGUUUGUGUUCCAAAUGAUUUAUCGCCGUAGGAUGGGACUGCGGCCUAUCAGUUUGUUGGUGAGGUAAUGGCCCACCAAGACUAUUACAGGUACGGGCUCUGAGAGGAGUAGCCCGGAGAUGGGUACUGAGACACGGACCCAGGCCCUAUGGGGCGCAGCAGGCGAGAAAACUUUGCAAUGUGCGAAAGCACGACAAGGUUAAUCCGAGUGGUUUGUGCUAAACGAACCUUUUGACAGUCCUAGAAACACUGUUGAAUAAGGGGUGGGCAAGUUCAGGUGUCAGCCGCCGCGGUAAAACCAGCACCUCAAGUGGUCAGGAUGAUUAUUGGGCCUAAAGCAUCCGUAGCCGGCUCUGUUAGUUUUCGGUUAAAUCUGUACGCUCAACGUACAGGCUGCCGGGAAUACUGCAGAGCCUAGGGAGUGGGAGAGGUAGACGGUACUCGGUAGGAAGGGGUAAAAUCCUUUGAUCUUAUUGAUGACCCCCUGUGGCGAAGGCGGUCUACCAGAACACGUCCCACGGUGAGGGAUGAAAGCUGGGGGAGCAAACCGGAUUAGAUACCCGGGUAGUCCCAGCUGUAAACUAUGCAAACUCAGUGAUGCAUUGGCUUGUGGGCCAAUGCAGUGCUGCAAGGGAAGCCGUUAAGUUUGCCGCCUGGGAAGUACGUACGCAAGUAUGAAACUUAAAAGGAAUUGGCGGGGG
rnacentral:rRNA from 1 species